GUGCUUCGACGAGCUGCUGUCUCGCAACCUCAGGAUCGGGAAAAACUCGCCCCAAACUGGGAAGGACCGUAUGAAGUCAAAGAAGUAGUCUGGCCCAGAGCUUAUUAUCUUAAGAAACUCGGAGGAGCCAACCUCCCGUGACCAUGGAGCUUGAAAAACUUAUGGAUGUACUACCAAUAACUUCAUUUUAAUCGAAAGUUGCAUACCUGUAUGUCUUUGGACAAUUCAAACAAACUGUAUCAGAAACUAAAGGGAAACCUCAUCCCGACAAAGUCGAAGGCCCAGUUCCAUUUAGAUCGGAUGGGAGGAGAGGCCCUGCAACGCCCAUAUGCGCCCCCACAGCCCUGUUAGGGACAGAAGGAAAAUCUCGCUCUAACUUGAGCAAAGUUGAAGGCCCGGUUCCAUUUAGACCGGAUGGGGGGAGAGGCCCUGCAACGCCCACAUGUGCCCCCACAGUCCUGUUAGGGACAGGAGGAAAACCUCGCCCUAACUUGAGCAAAGUCGAAGGCCCAGUUCCAUUU
rnacentral:lncRNA from 1 species